AGUUCCGUGGUGUAAAGCUCAUUGAAUUGCAAAUUCAAAGGUGCAGGUUAGUCGCCUGCCGGGGCUU
rnacentral:tRNA from 1 species